GACGAACGCUGGCGGCGUGCUUAACACAUGCAAGUCGAACGGAAAGGCCCCUUUGGGGGUACUCGAGUAGCGAACGGGUGAGUAACACGUGAGUAACCUGCCCUUGACUUCGGGAUAACUUCAGGAAACUGGGGCUAAUACCGGAUAGGAAUCCUUGCUGCAUGGUGGGGGUUGGAAAGCUUCGGCGGUUUUGGAUGGACUCGCGGCUUAUCAGCUUGUUGGUGGGGUAGUGGCUUACCAAGGCUUUGACGGGUAGCCGGCCUGAGAGGGCGACCGGCCACAUUGGGACUGAGAUACGGCCCAGACUCCUACGGGAGGCAGCAGUGGGGAAUAUUGCACAAUGGGCGGAAGCCUGAUGCAGCAACGCCGCGUGCGGGAGGACGGCCUUCGGGUUGUAAACCGCUUUCAGCAGGGGCGAAGCUUGUGGUGACGGUACCUGCAGAAGAAGCACCGGCUAACUACGUG
rnacentral:rRNA from 1 species